GAUGAACGCUGGCGGCGUGCCUAAUACAUGCAAGUCGAGCGAACGGACGAGAAGCUUUCUUCUCUGAUGUUAUCGGCGGACGGGUGAGUAACUCGUGGAUAACCUACCUAUACGACUGGGAUAACUUCGGGAAACCGUAGCUAAUACCGGAUAAUAUUUUGAACCUCAUUGUUCAAGAGUUAAAGUCGGUCUUGCUGUCACUUAUAGAUGGAUCCGCGCUGCAUUAGCUAGUUGGUAAGGUAACGGCUUACCAAGGCAACGAUGCAUAGCCGACCUGAGAGGGUGGACGGACACACGGGAACUGAGACACGGUACAGACACCUACACGAAGAAGCAGUAGGGAAUCUUACGCAAGGGGCGAAAGCGUGACGGAGCAAAACCGGGUGAGUGAUGAAGGUCUUCGGAUCGGAAAACUAUGUUAGUAGGGAAGAACAUAUGUGUAAGUAACUGUGAACAUAUUGACGGUACCUAAUCAAAAAGCCACGGCUAACUACGUG
rnacentral:rRNA from 1 species